UACGGAGGGUGCAAGCGUUGUUCGGAAUCAUUGGGCGUAAAGCGCACGUAGGCGGCGAUUUAAGUCAGAGGUGAAAGCCCGGGGCUCAACCCCGGAACUGCCUUUGAGACUGGAUUGCUAGAAUCUUGGAGAGGCGAGUGGAAUUCCGAGUGUAGAGGUGAAAUUCGUAGAUAUUCGGAAGAACACCAGUGGCGAAGGCGGCUCGCUGGACAAGUAUUGACGCUGAGGUGCGAAAGCGUGGGGAGCAAACAGG
rnacentral:rRNA from 1 species